rnacentral:rRNA from 1 species
GAUGAACGCUAGCUACAGGCUUAACACAUGCAAGUCGAGCGGCAGCGGUAUCGAAAGCUUGCUUUCGGUAGCCGGCGACCGGCGCGCGGGUGAGUAACGCGUAUCGCACCUUCUUCAUACUCGGGAACAGCCUUGCGCAAGUACUAUUACUGCACGGUGUUUUCAGAGUCAAGCAUGAGGCUUUGAACCAAGAUUUAUCUGUAUGAGAUGGCGUUGCGUUCCAUUGUCUUGUUGGCGGGGUAACGGCCCACCAAGGCAUCGUUGGGUAGGGGUGCUGAGAGGAAGGCCCCCCAGAUUGGAGCUGAGACACGGACCAAACUCCUACGGAGGGCAGCAGUGUGGAAGAUUGGGCGAGGGGCGGAAGCCUGAACCAGCCAAGUAGCGUGCAGGAGGACGGGCCUCCGGGUUGUAAACUGCUGUUAGAUGAGAAUAGAACGGGGCUCGGGAGCCGCCUUGCAUGUACCAACAGAAAAAGGACCGGCUAAUUCCGUG